UACGAAGGGGGGCUAGCGUUGCUCGGAAUCACUGGGCGUAAAGGGUGCGUAGGCGGGUUUUUAAGUCAGAGGUGAAAUCCUGGAGCUCAACUCCAGAACUGCCUUUGAUACUGAAAAGUCUUGAGUAUGGGAGAGGUGAGUGGAAACUGCGAGUGUAGAGGUGAAAAUUCGUAGAUAUUCGCAAAGAACACCAGUGGCGA
rnacentral:rRNA from 1 species